rnacentral:rRNA from 1 species
AGCUUAAAGAAUAUAUUUUAAGUGUAAUCUGCUCAGUGUGUUUUAAAUAAAUAGCCGCGGUACUUUGACCGUGCUAAGGUAGCGUAAUAAGUUGGCUUUUAAAUGGGGUCGAGUAUGAAUGAAAGAACGUAGWUAAGCUGUCUUAAAACUAUUUUGAUGAAGUUACUGUGUAGAUGAAAAAGUCUAUAGAAAAAUAAAAGACGAGAAGACCCUUAGAAUUUUAGUGAUAUUGAAGUUGAUUUAUUCAGGAUACUUUUGUUGGGGCGACAUGGAAACAGCGGUUAACUUUUUCAAAAUUAACACGACGAUUUUUAUAAGAAUGGAUAAAUUACCUGAGGGAUAACAGCAUAAUUUUACUAAUAAGUUUGUGACCUCGAUGUUGGACUAGGAAAUUAGUAGACUAGUCGUUUACUAUAUUGGUUCUGUUCGAACUGUUUUUCCU